GAUGAACGCUGGCGGCGUGCCUAAUACAUGCAAGUCGAGCGAACGGACGAGAAGCUUGCUUCUCUGAUGUUAGCGGCGGACGGGUGAGUAACACGUGGAUAACCUACCUAUAAGACUGGGAUAACUUCGGGAAACCGGAGCUAAUACCUGAUAAUAUUUUGAACCGCAUGGUUCAAAAGUGAAAGACGGUCUUGCUGUCACUUAUAGAUGGAUCCGCGCUGCAUUAGCUAGUUGGUAAGGUAACGGCUUACCAAGACAACGAUGCAUAGCCGACCUGAGAGGGUGAUCGGCCACACUGGAACUGAGACACGGUCCAGACUCCUACGGGAGGCAGCAGUAGGGAAUCUUCCGCAAUGGGCGAAAGCCUGACGGAGCAACGCCGCGUGAGUGAUGAAGGUCUUCGGAUCGUAAAACUCUGUUAUUAGGGAAGAACAUAUGUGUAAGUAACUGUGCACAUCUUGACGGUACCUAAUCAGAAAGCCACGGCUAACUACGUG
rnacentral:rRNA from 1 species